rnacentral:rRNA from 1 species
AUUGAACGCUGGCGGAAUGCUUUACACAUGCAAGUCGAACGGUAGAGGGGGCAACCCCUUGAGAGUGGCGAACGGGUGAGUAAUAUAUCGGAACGUGCCCAGUCGUGGGGAUAACGUAGCGAAAGUUACGCUAAUACCGCAUACGAUCUAAGGAUGAAAGCGGGGGAUCGCAAGACCUCGCGCGAUUGGAGCGGCCGAUAUCAGAUUAGGUAGUUGGUGAGGUAAAGGCUCACCAAGCCAACGAUCUGUAGCUGGUCUGAGAGGACGACCAGCCACACUGGAACUGAGACACGGUCCAGACUCCUACGGGAGGCAGCAGUGGGGAAUUUUGGACAAUGGACGCAAGUCUGAUCCAGCCAUUCCGCGUGCAGGAUGAAGGCC